AGCGAACGCUGGCGGCAGGCCUAACACAUGCAAGUCGAACGAACCUUUCGGGGUUAGUGGCGGACGGGUGAGUAACACGUGGGAACGUGCCUUUAGGUUCGGAAUAACUCAGGGAAACUUGUGCUAAUACCGAAUGUGCCCUUCGGGGGAAAGAUUAAUCGCCUUUAGAGCGGCCCGCGUCUGAUUAGCUAGUUGGUUGAGGUAAUGGCUCACCAAGGCGACGAUCAGUAGCUGGUCUGAGAGGAUGAUCAGCCACAUUGGGACUGAGACACGGCCCAAACUCCUACGGGAGGCAGCAGUGGGGAAUCUUGCGCAAUGGGCGAAAGCCUGACGCAGCCAUGCCGCGUGAAUGAUGAAGGUCUUAGAAUUGUAAAAUUCUUUCACCGGGGACGAUAAUGACGGUACCCGGAGAAGAAGCCCCGGCUAACUUCGUG
rnacentral:rRNA from 1 species